CUGAGGAAAAGAACCAACAGGGAUUGCCUCAGUAGCGGCGAGUGAAGCGGCAAGAGCUCAGAUUUGAAAUCGUGCUUUGCGGCACGAGUUGUAGAUUGCAGGUUGGAGUCUGUGUGGAAGGCGGUGUCCAAGUCCCUUGGAACAGGGCGCCCAGGAGGGUGAGAGCCCCGUGGGAUGCCGGCGGAAGCAGUGAGGCCCUUCUGACGAGUCGAGUUGUUUGGGAAUGCAGCUCCAAGCGGGUGGUAAAUUCCAUCUAAGGCUAAAUACUGGCGAGAGACCGAUAGCGAACAAGUACUGUGAAGGAAAGAUGAAAAGCACUUUGAAAAGAGAGUGAAACAGCACGUGAAAUUGUUGAAAGGGAAGGGUAUUGCGCCCGACAUGGGGAUUGCGCACCGCUGCCUCUCGUGGGCGGCGCUCUGGGCUUUCCCUGGGCCAGCAUCGGUUCUUGCUGCAGGAGAAGGGGUUCUGGAACGUGGCUCUUCGGAGUGUUAUAGCCAGGGCCAGAUGCUGCGUGCGGGGACCGAGGACUGCGGCCGUGUAGUCACGAUGCGCAA
rnacentral:rRNA from 1 species